GCUGCCAGUCUACAUUCAUCUGAGUUCAUAACUUAUUAUUUUUCAACUGUAAUACAAUUGUCCAAUUGCGUCUCUAUAAAACUCCCACCGCAAAACCACUUUUAUUGCCGAUAAAACUAAAAAAAAUGUCAAAAAGGUUAAAUAUGUUAACAUAACUUUUGUUUAAAGAAUACGCUAUGCAAAUGAUGGUUUCCCUGAAAUCUCGUUUAAGUGUUUGUUUAUCUUUAAAGGAUUUUCUUGCUUAAAUGCGCAACACUUUGUAUGGUUGGGCAAUGCUUUUAUAUGUGUGAUUGAAGUCUGAUUGUCUCUCGAGGUCCCCAGUGUUAAAGAUUACACUCAUUACUAGUGAUAAUAUUUAGAUUCUUUCGUCUAGGCACAAUAAUUUGAUUUUGGAAUUGUUGUGGAUUCAUAUCGUUUUAAUAGUGAAACGUUGAACCGUGGUGCAAAUGGUUUUUUAAGCCACCAGCAUCAACACCCAACUGUUUGGACCAAUGACAUCAAAGAUACUAGCGCAUUUCCAUGGCAACGACUUCACCGUGCCAAUUAGGACAAGUUUCUUUGCACCCCGGUCUGUUUUUGCUUCCCAACUUGUGCUUUUUCAUUGUUCAAUGCUUUUGAAUGCUAAUGAAGAAACUCAGUUUUGAACAUCAUUCUGGAAUUUUAACUGUUUUGGUAAAUUUGCUGCGUCACAUCAUUUGUUCAAACUGCAUUUUAAUUUGUCAUUUCUGCCGAAUAACGUUGAAAGUUGUUAGUGAAAAUAUCAUAUAAAUAUUAGCGGGCCCAGAGCUCAAAGGAUUAAUAGUUCAGUAAUAACCGACAGCAUUUGAUUGCUUGCAUACGGCUCAGCUGAAAAUGUUUUCCAUAAAGUCUCUGAUUGUUGUCCUGAUGAUUGCCGCAUUAGGGUGUUUCAUGCUCGAAACGUCUGCCACCCCCGUACCUAAACCAUUGAUUUUUGUCGGUUUAGGAGGGCAUGGAGGGUUUUACGCUCGCCACCACGUCUACUAUGGGCAUUCUUCCCCGUAUUUCUACGGAAAGUGAUAAGUGAAUGAAAUAAAAUGCCUUGAAUACUU